rnacentral:rRNA from 1 species
GAUGAACGCUGGCGGCGUGCCUAAUACAUGCAAGUCGAACGCACAGCGAAAGGUGCUUGCACCUUUCAAGUGAGUGGCGAACGGGUGAGUAACACGUGGACAACCUGCCUCAAGGCUGGGGAUAACAUUUGGAAACAGAUGCUAAUACCGAAUAAAACUCAGUGUCGCAUGACACAAAGUUAAAAGGCGCUUUGGCGUCACCUAGAGAUGGAUCCGCGGUGCAUUAGUUAGUUGGUGGGGUAAAGGCCUACCAAGACAAUGAUGCAUAGCCGAGUUGAGAGACUGAUCGGCCACAUUGGGACUGAGACACGGCCCAAACUCCUACGGGAGGCUGCAGUAGGGAAUCUUCCACAAUGGGCGAAAGCCUGAUGGAGCAACGCCGCGUGUGUGAUGAAGGCUUUCGGGUCGUAAAGCACUGUUGUAUGGGAAGAACAGCUAGAAUAGGGAAUGAUUUUAGUUUGACGGUACCAUACCAGAAAGGGACGGCUAAAUACGUGCCAGCAGCCGCGGUAAUACGUAUGUCCCGAGCGUUAUCCGGAUUUAUUGGGCGUAAAGCGAGCGCAGACGGUUGAUUAAGUCUGAUGUGAAAGCCCGGAGCUCAACUCCGGAAUGGCAUUGGAAACUGGUUAACUUGAGUGCAGUAGAGGUAAGUGGAACUCCAUGUGUAGCGGUGGAAUGCGUAGAUAUAUGGAAGAACACCAGUGGCGAAGGCGGCUUACUGGACUGUAACUGACGUUGAGGCUCGAAAGUGUGGGUAGCAAACAGGAUUAGAUACCCUGGUAGUCCACACCGUAAACGAUGAACACUAGGUGUUAGGAGGUUUCCGCCUCUUAGUGCCGAAGCUAACGCAUUAA